GUGCUCACUUCAGCAGCACAUAUACUAAAAAUGGAAUGAUGGGGAGAAGAUUAGCAUGGUUCCUGCACAAGGACACUCAAAUUCUUGAAGUGUUCCAUAUUUUU